rnacentral:rRNA from 1 species
ACGCUGGCGGCGUGCCUAAUACAUGCAAGAUNGAGCGAACCACUUCGGUGGUGAGCGGCGAACGGGUGAGUAACACGUAGGUGAUCUGCCCAUCAGACGGGGACAACGAUUGGAAACGAUCGCUAAUACCGGAUAGGACGAAAGUUUAAAGGUGCUUCUGGCACCGCUGAUGGAUGAGCCUGCGGCGCAUUAGCUAGUUGGUAGGGUAAAGGCCUACCAAGGCGACGAUGCGUAGCCGACCUGAGAGGGUGAACGGCCACACUGGGACUGAGACACGGCCCAGACUCCUACGGGAGGCAGCAGUAGGGAAUCUUCGGCAAUGGGCGAAAGCCUGACCGAGCAACGCCGCGUGAAUGAUGAAGGCCUUCGGGUUGUAAAAUUCUGUUAUAAGGGAAGAACGACUUUAGUAGGAAAUGGCUAGAGUGUGACGGUACCUUAUGAGAAAGCCACGGCUAACUACGUGCCAGCAGCCGCGGUAAUACGUAGGUGGCGAGCGUUAUCCGGAAUUAUUGGGCGUAAAGAGCGCGCAGGUGGUUGAUUAAGUCUGAUGUGAAAGCCCACGGCUUAACCGUGGAGGGUCAUUGGAAACUGGUCGACUUGAGUGCAGAAGAGGGAAGUGGAAUUCCAUGUGUAGCGGUGAAAUGCGUAGA